AGAAGGACUACCAGUUUUUCCACACUACCAGCUGGUUGGCAUUCCUCUGUUCAACUAAAUGAUUAAGAAUUAGGACGAGGAGCCAUCCAGAUGUAUUUCGGGUGUAACGGCCAUCCAGUGCUCUCUCAGUCAAGGAGGUGUGACCAUCAAGCCAGCUAAGGAUUGUCCUUGGGAGAAAGAAAGUAGCAUUUCGUCCAGGAAUGGCUAGAGCAGAAUCUCACAUUUUCAAAAGAUGUCUGUGUGCUUCCUCCACACCUUGCUCAUCAUCGUCACCCAGGAAGUGGCUGAUGGAGGAUUAGUUCUCUCUGAGAUGACCAGACUCAGUGACCAAACUACCUUACCAAGCUGUGGACAAGGAAAGGGUGGUGGUGGAGGAGAAGGGAGGCUGCGGCCAUCACGGGACUCAGAUGAGGUCAAAGGCCAGAGGGUUGAUGCCCGAGUGGACUGAAACAGCCAGCCUGUAACCUAAAAAUAUGCCUGGCAACGAUGAGGCGCCACCAAGAACCCUGAGGUGAAGGUGGCACGAGGUCCACGUAGAAUGCUGUGCAUCGGCCUUGAAUUCGGCCCACCGAGCAGAGUGAAUAUUUCCAUUUUUAAACAUUGAGAUAUGAUUGACAAACAGAACACUGCAUUCGUUUCAAGUGUUAACACCGUGAUUUGACAUUUGCAUACAUUGCAAAAUGAUCACCAUAAUAGGUUUACUUAACAUCUGUCAUUGCAUGUAGUCAUUCAAUUUUUUUUCCCUCGAGAUGAGACCUUCGAAGAUCUACUCCACUAGCAACUUUCAAAUAUGUGAUAUAGUAUCACUGACCAUAGUCACCAGGCUGCAUCUCGUAUCCCCACGACUUAUUCAUCUUAUAACUGGAAGUCUGUACCUUGUAACUCCCUUCACCCGCAUCGCCCACCCCUGUCCCUUCAUCAUUGGCAACUAUCAAUCUCUUGUCUGUAUUUAUGAGUUCAGUUUUUUUUCUAGCUGUAUUUUUUUUAAAGGAUUACACAUAUAAGUGAGAUCACAUAGUAUUUUUCAGCUUUGAUUCUACAUAGCUGGUGCUGAGGCUGGAAAGCUUGAGUAGCCCAGUGGUUUUUGUUUCAAAAACCAUAGAAAAAUUGGUUGAGAAUCAAAAUUUUCACUGGAUCUCGCUUAGGUGCACCAAGCUUUUAUGGGAAUCUCUGUGUGUUGAAGGCCUGACAAGCCAGUAGCUUCGACUCAUAGGGGGAUAAAGUGUAGGGGGAUAAAGUUUCCAGAGGGAGAGUUGACUUGACACUUUUCCAUGUAAAGUUGACUUACCAGUGGAGCCAGGCCUAGUGUGUUUUUGAGCAUUCCAGGUCCCCUCCCACCUUCGGAGCUAUUGAGUGCAAGCUGCUGACCCACUUCUAAAUGGGAAUAUCAGACUGCGGCGUCGUUAGGCCUCCCUGGGUUGGGUAUUUGUUUUUGGCAAGAGCUCAUCGGUGAGGGGAUAGCUGCUUCCAAAAGGACUGUACCUAGUAGCCAUAUCCAGGAGGCAACAGGUGCAGAAGCACAAGGGUGUCUUCAGGGCAGAGGCGGCUUUCUACUGCACAGUGUCUCAUAUACAAGAUCAGAUAUUUGUAUCUCAAAGGGAUCAUUAAAGCUAUGGGGUUGCAAAGAUCUAGAGUGUUCUACAGCUGGCUGGAUAGGUUCCAGGACAACUUGCUGGUUUGAGCCCCACUCAGAGAAUGCUGACCUGUGUGCAUUUGUGGAUACGAAGAAUGGAGCAAAACGCCUGAGUGAGACCGCACUGUCUCCGAUGCCUAACAUGUCACAACAUGAUAAUUCUCCUUUUUUGUCAUGGAAGAUCCAAAGAAAUAGUAGGUUUUCCUUGAUUUCUGGACGCACUGAGCAUUGUUAGUCCACCUAAGUAGUCCUAAUAAAUUACGUGGUGUGACGGCCCCUCUGUAUUUUUGUCAGGGUUUAUUAGCCACACCUGCCGAGGAGGUGUGAUGAUUGGAAACGUAACUGCUGACUUGCCAACCAACAGAACGUAUUCUGUCUAGUGACAGCUUUGGACAUUAGAGGGCAGAGGCCUGCACGCUGAUUUCUACCUGCCCAUCGGUAGAAAGUUCCAGGAGUGUUUGUCCCACUAACAGUUCUUUCACUGUGUCUCUUCACUGAUUGAGAGCCACCCAUAUGGCACUUAUGGGACAUGAAGUUUAAAUAUAUAACACAUCAGUCCUACUGUACGUUCGGGUGUAAGGACAUCAGCAGCACAUUGAACUGACCCCAAAGAAUCCCCCCAAACCAUCAUGUUAGACUCCACCCCCUCCCACUACCCCAUGCACCCCCCUGUGAACUGUCCAAACAGCAACAGUGGAAUUCGGACAUCUUCUUGCCCUGGAAGCCCUGGGGAGGAUGGUGAGUUGGGUGCCUAUGUUUAGCAGUCAUGGAAGUCCGAGUGUCUCCUGUCCCUGAAGCAUCCCAGCACAUACAUGAAUAGGUGCCGAUGGUUUUCAGUGCCUCUUGAGGACAGGGAAACCUCAGCCUGCUGCUAAUUUUCUUUCUCCAUUAACCAGCUGAGGUUAGGGUAGUGAGGGGAGUGAAGAACGGAGGACACAGAGGGAGAGACUGUGCCACAUUAGUAAGCACAGCACGUCCACUUUUGGUUUCAGGUGGUGCAGGAACUGAGAAAAGACCUCUAGUGUUUUUACCUGCUCACAUGUCUGAGUUCAUCACUGACACCAUCAGUUUCAGCUCGAGGGACUCCUGGACCCACAGCUACAGACACGUUGCCUCUCAACUGGGGUAGCGACGCUUGCUGCUGGGUUGUGGUGAUCGUAUCCCUUCCCCCUCCUGCCUGGAGAACAGUGACCAGGCAUCACAUCACUGCCGGGGCAACUUACAUUCCAGUCUACUUUUCCUCAACCGCUCAGCCUAUUAGUAUUCAUGAACAGGUAGGAGAGUAGGGGACACUAGUUUCCUCCCUGCAACGCCCCCUCUCCCUGCCUUUGCUUACUCCAGGCAAGAGCAUUCUUUCUCAAAUCCUAAGGAGUCCUUCUAUAUCCUGAACACGGGCCUAUGAGGCCCUUAUUCUUUUUCUUCCAGAAAGCCAUGGCUCUGUUAACACCUGAUCUCCAUUGAUGGAAGCUACUUGCCAACUAAUAAGUGAGCUUAUCGGGUAUUCAUGGAAGAUACGGGAGGACAUGAGACUCCAGGUCAGAAACAAAGGACUCGUAUCACUAACAGCACAUCAGGAAAUAUGAGCCUCACGUUUGCAAGGCUGUACUUUGCCCCAUAGCCCACCAAGUCCCAUGGGGGUGAUUUUUGUCACAGCUGAGAAACACUGAGCUUAGGGACCCUGAAUCUUUUGUAAUGAGCUACAAGAAAUUCAGAACAAUCUUUGCCCUAGAAGAAGGCGUUACCUUCUAAGGACAAGCCGCGAGUGUAACACUAAGGAGGUUGGACUGCAUCCCUAGAGUAAGAAAACCUUGAAGGUUUAUAGAUGGAGUUAUGGCACCACCACUCUGCAUAGGCUGAGCAAUAUUUAUUGACUAUUGUAAAAUAAAUAUAAGAAAGUAUUGGAUUUAAUGACAGUUGAAAGGCGAAUGUGAUCAUACUUGUAAAAUGUACUAAGGGGCACAGUCGAGGCAAAAGAAAACAGUGGAAGACAGUCUUUCCAAACUAGAGGGAAACAUAUAGGUGUGAGAGGAGCAGAAAAAAACGACAACACCUGUUUUAAAACUUGUUUACUGGAAA